AGUGGCGAACGGGUGAGUAACACGUGGGUGAUCUGCCCUGCACUUCGGGAUAAGCUUGGGAAACUGGGUCUAAUACCGGAUAGGAACCAUCUUUAGUAGUGGUGGUUGGAAAGUUUUUUCGGUGUAGGAUGAGCUCGCGGCCUAUCAGCUUGUUGGUGGGGUAAUGGCCUACCAAGGCGGCGACGGGUAGCCGGCCUGAGAGGGUGUACGGCCACAUUGGGACUGAGAUACGGCCCAGACUCCUACGGGAGGCAGCAGUGGGGAAUAUUGCACAAUGGGCGCAAGCCUGAUGCAGUGACGCCGCGUGGGGGAUGAAGGCCUUCGGGUUGUAAACUCCUUUCGCUAGUGACGAAGCUUUUUGUGACGGUACCUAGAUAAGAAGCACCGGCUAACUACGUGCCAGCAGCCGCGGUAAUACGUAGGGUGCGAGCGUUGUCCGGAAUUACUGGGCGUAAAGGGCUCGUAGGUGGUUUGUCGCGUCGUCUGUGAAAUUCUGGGGCUUAACUCCGGGCGUGCAGGCGAUACGGGCAUAACUUGAGUGCUGUAGGGGUAACUGGAAUUCCUGGUGUAGCGGUGAAAUGCGCAGAUAUCAGGAGGAACACCGAUGGCGAAGGCAGGUUAC
rnacentral:rRNA from 1 species